GGUUAAGCGACUAAGCGUACACGGUGGAUGCCCUGGCAGUCAGAGGCGAUGAAGGACGUGCUAAUCUGCGAUAAGCGUCGGUAAGGUGAUAUGAACCGUUAUAACCGGCGAUUUCCGAAUGGGGAAACCCAGUGUGUUUCGACACACUAUCAUUAACUGAAUCCAUAGGUUAAUGAGGCGAACCGGGGGAACUGAAACAUCUAAGUACCCCGAGGAAAAGAAAUCAACCGAGAUUCCCUCAGUAGCGGCGAGCGAACGGGGAGCAGCCCAGAGCCUGAAUCAGUGUGUGUGUUAGUGGAAGCGUCUGGAAAGGCGCGCGAUACAGGGUGACAGCCCCGUACACAAAAAUGCACAUGCUGUGAGCUCGAUGAGUAGGGCGGGACACGUGGUAUCCUGUCUGAAUAUGGGGGGACCAUCCUCCAAGGCUAAAUACUCCUGACUGACCGAUAGUGAACCAGUACCGUGAGGGAAAGGCGAAAAGAACCCCGGCGAGGGGAGUGAAAAAGAACCUGAAACCGUGUACGUACAAGCAGUGGGAGCACGCUUAGGCGUGUGACUGCGUACCUUUUGUAUAAUGGGUCAGCGACUUAUAUUCUGUAGCAAGGUUAACCGAAUAGGGGAGCCGAAGGGAAACCGAGUCUUAACUGGGCGUUAAGUUGCAGGGUAUAGACCCGAAACCCGGUGAUCUAGCCAUGGGCAGGUUGAAGGUUGGGUAACACUAACUGGAGGACCGAACCGACUAAUGUUGAAAAAUUAGCGGAUGACUUGUGGCUGGGGGUGAAAGGCCAAUCAAACCGGGAGAUAGCUGGUUCUCCCCGAAAGCUAUUUAGGUAGCGCCUCGUGAAUUCAUCUCCGGGGGUAGAGCACUGUUUCGGCAAGGGGGUCAUCCCGACUUACCAACCCGAUGCAAACUGCGAAUACCGGAGAAUGUUAUCACGGGAGACACACGGCGGGUGCUAACGUCCGUCGUGAAGAGGGAAACAACCCAGACCGCCAGCUAAGGUCCCAAAGUCAUGGUUAAGUGGGAAACGAUGUGGGAAGGCCCAGACAGCCAGGAUGUUGGCUUAGAAGCAGCCAUCAUUUAAAGAAAGCGUAAUAGCUCACUGGUCGAGUCGGCCUGCGCGGAAGAUGUAACGGGGCUAAACCAUGCACCGAAGCUGCGGCAGCGACGCUUAUGCGUUGUUGGGUAGGGGAGCGUUCUGUAAGCCUGUGAAGGUGUGCUGUGAGGCAUGCUGGAGGUAUCAGAAGUGCGAAUGCUGACAUAAGUAACGAUAAAGCGGGUGAAAAGCCCGCUCGCCGGAAGACCAAGGGUUCCUGUCCAACGUUAAUCGGGGCAGGGUGAGUCGACCCCUAAGGCGAGGCCGAAAGGCGUAGUCGAUGGGAAACAGGUUAAUAUUCCUGUACUUGGUGUUACUGCGAAGGGGGGACGGAGAAGGCUAUGUUGACCGGGCGACGGUUGUCCCGGUUUAAGCGUGUAGGCUGGUUUUCCAGGCAAAUCCGGAAAAUCAAGGCUGAGGCGUGAUGACGAGGCACUACGGUGCUGAAGCAACAAAUGCCCUGCUUCCAGGAAAAGCCUCUAAGCAUCAGGUAACAUCAAAUCGUACCCCAAACCGACACAGGUGGUCAGGUAGAGAAUACCAAGGCGCUUGAGAGAACUCGGGUGAAGGAACUAGGCAAAAUGGUGCCGUAACUUCGGGAGAAGGCACGCUGAUAUGUAGGUGAAGUCCCUCGCGGAUGGAGCUGAAAUCAGUCGAAGAUACCAGCUGGCUGCAACUGUUUAUUAAAAACACAGCACUGUGCAAACACGAAAGUGGACGUAUACGGUGUGACGCCUGCCCGGUGCCGGAAGGUUAAUUGAUGGGGUCAGCGCAAGCGAAGCUCUUGAUCGAAGCCCCGGUAAACGGCGGCCGUAACUAUAACGGUCCUAAGGUAGCGAAAUUCCUUGUCGGGUAAGUUCCGACCUGCACGAAUGGCGUAAUGAUGGCCAGGCUGUCUCCACCCGAGACUCAGUGAAAUUGAACUCGCUGUGAAGAUGCAGUGUACCCGCGGCAAGACGGAAAGACCCCGUGAACCUUUACUAUAGCUUGACACUGAACAUUGAGCCUUGAUGUGUAGGAUAGGUGGGAGGCUUAGAAGUGUGGACGCCAGUCUGCAUGGAGCCGACCUUGAAAUACCACCCUUUAAUGUUUGAUGUUCUAACGUUGACCCGUAAUCCGGGUUGCGGACAGUGUCUGGUGGGUAGUUUGACUGGGGCGGUCUCCUCCUAAAGAGUAACGGAGGAGCACGAAGGUUGGCUAAUCCUGGUCGGACAUCAGGAGGUUAGUGCAAUGGCAUAAGCCAGCUUGACUGCGAGCGUGACGGCGCGAGCAGGUGCGAAAGCAGGUCAUAGUGAUCCGGUGGUUCUGAAUGGAAGGGCCAUCGCUCAACGGAUAAAAGGUACUCCGGGGAUAACAGGCUGAUACCGCCCAAGAGUUCAUAUCGACGGCGGUGUUUGGCACCUCGAUGUCGGCUCAUCACAUCCUGGGGCUGAAGUAGGUCCCAAGGGUAUGGCUGUUCGCCAUUUAAAGUGGUACGCGAGCUGGGUUUAGAACGUCGUGAGACAGUUCGGUCCCUAUCUGCCGUGGGCGCUGGAGAACUGAGGGGGGCUGCUCCUAGUACGAGAGGACCGGAGUGGACGCAUCACUGGUGUUCGGGUUGUCAUGCCAAUGGCACUGCCCGGUAGCUAAAUGCGGAAGAGAUAAGUGCUGAAAGCAUCUAAGCACGAAACUUGCCCCGAGAUGAGUUCUCCCUGACUCCUUGAGAGUCCUGAAGGAACGUUGAAGACGACGACGUUGAUAGGCCGGGUGUGUAAGCGCAGCGAUGCGUUGAGCUAACCGGUACUAAUGAACCGUGAGGCUUAACCUU
rnacentral:rRNA from 1 species